AACUGUCUCUUACGGACUAGCCAAUGAAAUUGAUCCUUCAGUACAAAAGCUGAAAUUAACCCAUAAGACGAGAAGACCCUGUGGAGCUUCAAAACCAAAACCACUAAACAUGCCUUCUGGUUUUUUAGUUGGGGCGACUUUGGAGCAAAAAAAACCCUCCAAAACAUAAAUCUAUUUAUUAAGAACAACACACCAAAAAUAAUAUUAUAGACCCAGCAGUAUUAAUUUACUGUCUGAUCAAUGAACCAAGUUACCCCAGGGAUAACAGCGCUAUCCUCUUCUAGAGUCCUUAUCGACAAGGGGGUUUACGACCUCGAUGUUGGAUCAGGACACCC
rnacentral:rRNA from 1 species